GAAAAGUGUGAUCGGUCGAGGCGAACGGAAGUUGAGAGAGAGAUACAAGUUAGAUGGAGCUAAAGAAGUUUAACUUCCGUCGUGUGGUCAAAAGCGUGCUCGUUUUUUUUUAAAAAAAACAGCUUUAA